CGANCGGANUAUUAAGAGAGCUUGCUCUUUUAAUACUUAGUGGCGCACGGGUGAGUAAUGUAUAGUUAAUCUGCCCUACACUGGAGGACAACAGUUAGAAAUGACUGCUAAUACUCCAUACUCCUUCUUAACAUAAGUUAAGUCGGGAAAGUUUUUCGGUGUAGGAUGAGACUAUAUUGUAUCAGCUAGUUGGUAAGGUAAUGGCUUACCAAGGCUUUGACGCAUAACUGGUCUGAGAGGAUGAUCAGUCACACUGGAACUGAGACACGGUCCAGACUCCUACGGGAGGCAGCAGUAGGGAAUAUUGCUCAAUGGGGGAAACCCUGAAGCAGCAACGCCGCGUGGAGGAUGACACUUUUCGGAGCGUAAACUCCUUUUGUUAGGGAAGAACCAUGACGGUACCUAACGAAUAAGCACCGGCUAACUCCGUGCCAGCAGCCGCGGUAAUACGGAGGGUGCAAGCGUUACUCGGAAUCACUGGGCGUAAAGGACGCGUAGGCGGAUUAUCAAGUCUUUUG
rnacentral:rRNA from 1 species